UGAAGAGUUUGAUCAUGGCUCAGAUUGAACGCUGGCGGCAGGCCUAACACAUGCAAGUCGAGCGGCAGCACAGAGAAACUUGUUUCUCGGGUGGCGAGCGGCGGACGGGUGAGUAAUGCCUGGGAAAUUGCCCUGAUGUGGGGGAUAACCAUUGGAAACGAUGGCUAAUACCGCAUGAUGCCUACGGGCCAAAGAGGGGGACCUUCGGGCCUCUCGCGUCAGGAUAUGCCCAGGUGGGAUUAGCUAGUUGGUGAGGUAAGGGCUCACCAAGGCGACGAUCCCUAGCUGGUCUGAGAGGAUGAUCAGCCACACUGGAACUGAGACACGGUCCAGACUCCUACGGGAGGCAGCAGUGGGGAAUAUUGCACAAUGGGCGCAAGCCUGAUGCAGCCAUGCCGCGUGUGUGAAGAAGGCCUUCGGGUUGUAAAGCACUUUCAGUUGUGAGGA
rnacentral:rRNA from 1 species